rnacentral:rRNA from 1 species
UACAGAGGUCUCAAGCGUUGUUCGGAUUCAUUGGGCGUAAAGGGGUGCGUAGGCGGCGCGGUAAGUCGGGUGUGAAAUCUCGGAGCUUAACUCCGAAACUGCAUUCGAUACUGCCGUGCUUGAGGACUGGAGAGGAGACUGGAAUUUACGGUGUAGCGGUGAAAUGCGUAGAGUAUCGAUAAGGAAGACCAGUGGCGAAGGCGGGUCUCUGGACAGUUCCUGACGCUGAGGACGAAGGCAGGGGAGCAAACGGG